rnacentral:lncRNA from 1 species
AACAAUGAGAGGUGACUUCUAACACUUGCUGUCUGGCAUAGCUACUCGUUAGUCGGUUGGUGUGUGACUCAUUCCUGCCAAUGACGAAUCGGAGACAAACCAGAAGCAGCCGUGCAAUGGUGCUUCCCCCAUUUUAUAUGUGAGGCACUCACUGGAGCCGAACACUUUUAGAAAAUGAAAUAAUUUCAGCAAAAGGCAGCUUUGACAUCCUGGACUGCCCGUGCAAAACAAACCCAUUGAAGAAGAUUAUCUUACCAUUUCCGUCUGGAGAAAGAAAGAAAUUCUUUGCCAAAUAGCUUUGGGACAGCUAUCCCACCCAAGGAAGAAUUCUUGAUGUUUAAAAACACACAA